GACGAACGCUGGCGGCAUGCCUAACACAUGCAAGUCGAACGAGACCUUCGGGUCUAGUGGCGCACGGGGGCGUAACGCGUGGGAACCUGCCCUUAGGUUCGGAAUACCUCCCCGAAAGGGGUGCUAAUACAGGAUAAUGUCAUCGGACCAAAGACUUAUCGCUGUUGGAUGGGCGCGGGUUGGAUUCGCUAGUUGGUAGUGUAAAAGCCUACCAAGGCGACGAUGCAUAGCUGGUCUGAGAGGAGGAUCAGCCACACUGGGACUGAGACACGGCCCAGACUCCUACGGGAGGGAGCAGUGGGGAAUAUUGGACAAUGGGCGAAAGCCUGAUCCAGCAAUGCCGGGUGAGUGAUGAAGGCCUUAGGGUUGUAAAGCUCUUUUACCCGGGAUGAUAAUGACAGUACCGGGAGAAUAAGCACCGGCUAACUCCGUG
rnacentral:rRNA from 1 species